rnacentral:rRNA from 1 species
AGAGUUUGAUCAUGGCUCAGAUUGAACGCUGGCGGCAGCCUAACACAUGCAAGUCGAACGGUAACAGGAAACAGCUUGCUGUUUCGCUGACGAGUGGCGGACGGGUGCGUAAUGUCUGGGAAGCUGCCUGAUGGAGGGGGAUAACUACUGGAAACGGUAGCUAAUACCGCAUAACGUCGCAAGACCAAAGAGGGGGACCUUCGGGCCUCUUGCCAUCGGAUGUGCCCAGAUGGGAUUAGCUAGUAGGUGGGGUAACGGCUCACCUAGGCGACGAUCCCUAGCUGGUCUGAGAGGAUGACCAGCCACACUGGAACUGAGACACGGUCCAGACUCCUACGGGAGGCAGCAGUGGGGAAUAUUGCACAAUGGCGCAAGCCUGAUGCAGCCAUGCCGCGUGUAUGAAGAAGGCCUUCGGGUUGUAAAGUACUUUCAGCGGGGAGAAGGGAGUAAAGUUAAUACCUUUGCUCAUUGACGUUACCCGCAGAAGAAGCACCGGCUAACUCCGUGCCAGCAGCCGCGUAAUACGGAGGGUGCAAGCGUUAAUCGGAAUUACUGGGCGUAAAGCGCACGCAGGCGGUUUGUUAAGUCAGAUGUGAAAUCCCCGGGCUCAACCUGGGAACUGCAUCUGAUACUGGCAAGCUUGAGUCUCGUAGAGGGGGGUAGAAUUCCAGGUGUAGCGGUGAAAUGCGUAGAGAUCUGGAGGAAUACCGGUGGCGAAGGCGGCCCCCUGGACGAAGACUGACGCUCAGGUGCGAAAGCGUGGGGGAGCAAACAGGAUUAGAUACCCUGGUAGUCCACGCCGUAAACGAUGUCGACUUGGAGGUUGUGCCCUUGAGGCGUGGCUUCCGGAGCUAACGCGUUAAGUCGACCGCCUGGGGAGUACGGCCGCAAGGUUAAAACUCAAAUGAAUUGACGGGGGCCCGCACAAGCGGUGGAGCAUGUGGUUUAAUUCGAUGCAACGCGAAGAACCUUUACCUGGUCUUGACAUCCACAGAACUUUCCAGAGAUGGAUUGGUGCCUUCGGGAACUGUGAGACAGGUGCUGCAUGGCUGUCGUCAGCUCGUGUUGUGAAAUGUUGGGUUAAGUCCCGCAACGAGCGCAACCCUUAUCCUUUGUUGCCAGCGGUCCGGCCGGGAACUCAAAGGAGACUGCCAGUGAUAAACUGGAGGAAGGUGGGGAUGACGUCAAGUCAUCAUGGCCCUUACGACCAGGGCUACACACGUGCUACAAUGGCGCAUACAAAGAGAAGCGACCUCGCGAGAGCAAGCGGACCUCAUAAAGUGCGUCGUAGUCCGGAUUGGAGUCUGCAACUCGACUCCAUGAAGUCGGAAUCGCUAGUAAUCGUGGAUCAGAAUGCCACGGUGAAUACGUUCCCGGGCCUUGUACACACCGCCCGUCACACCAUGGGAGUGGGUUGCAAAAGAAGUAGGUAGCUUAACCUUCGGGAGGGCGCUUACCACUUUGUGAUUCAUGACUGGGGUGAAGUCGUAACAAGGUAACCGUAGGGGAACCUGCGGUUGGAUCACCU